rnacentral:rRNA from 1 species
AGUGAACGCUGGCGGUAGGCCUAACACAUGCAAGUCGAACGGCAGCACAGUAAGAGCUUGCUCUUACGGGUGGCGAGUGGCGGACGGGAGAGGAAUACAUCGGACUCUACUUUUUCGUGGGGGAUAACGUAGGGAAACUUACGCUAAUACCGCAUACGACCUACGGGUGAAAGCAGGGGAUCUUCGGACCUUGCGCGAUUGAAUGAGCCGAUGUCGGAUUAGCUAGUUGGCGGGGUAAAGGCCCACCAAGGCGACGAUCCGUAGCUGGUCUGAGAGGAUGAUCAGCCACACUGGAACUUAGACACGGUCCAGACUCCUACGGGAGGCAGCAGUGGGGAAUAUUGGACAAUGGGCGCAAGCCUGAUCCAGCCAUACCGCGUGGGUGAAGAAGGCCUUCGGGUUGUAAAGCCCUUUUGUUGGGAAAGAAAAGCAGCAGGUUAAUACCCCGCUGUUCUGACGGUACCCAAAGAAUAAGCACCGGCUAACUUCGUG